rnacentral:rRNA from 1 species
UACGUAGGGCGCGAGCGUUGUCCGGAAUUAUUGGGCGUAAAGAGCUCGUAGGCGGCCGGUUGCGUCUGCUGUGAAAUCCCGGGGCUUAACCCCGGGCGUGCAGUGGAUACGGGCCGGCUGGAGGCAGGCAGGGGAGAAUGGAAUUCCCGGUGUAGCGGUGAAAUGCGCAGAUAUCGGGAGGAACACCGGUGGUGAAGGCGGUUCUCUGGAACGCAACUGACGCUGAGACGCGAAAGCGUGGGGAGCAAACAGG